CAAAAACAUGUCUUUUUGAGUUAUUUUUAAAGUCUAACCUGCCCAAUGAAAAAUUUUUAAUGGCCGCAGUAAUUUGACUGUGCAAAGGUAGCAUAAUAAUUAGUCUUUUAAUUGAAGGCUUGUAUGAAUGGUUGGACGAAGUAUAAUCUGUUUCAUUUAAAUUUAUUAUAGAAUUUUAUAUUUUAGUAAAAAAGCUAAAAUUUUUUUAAAAGACGAGAAGACCCUAUAAAUCUUUAUAAUCUAUAGUUAUUUUUCUUUUUUUGAUUUAUUUUAUUUUAAUAAUUUAGAUUAUUUUAUUGGGGUGAUAUUAAAAUUUAAAUAACUUUUAAUUUUUUUUUAACAUUAAUUUAUGAUUUAUUGAUCCAUUAAUAAUGAUUAUAAGAAUAAGUUACUUUAGGGAUAACAGCGUAAUUUUUUUGGAGAGUUCUUAUUGAUAAAAAAGUUUGCGACCUCGAUGUUGGAUUAAGAUAUAAUUUUAGGUGUAGUUGCUUAAAUAAUAAGUCUGUUCGACUUUUAAAUUCUUACAUGAUCUGAGUUCAAACCGGA
rnacentral:rRNA from 1 species